rnacentral:ncRNA from 1 species
GGUAGUAGCAAAUAUUCAAAUGAGAACUUUGAAUUCCGAAGAGGGGAAAAGUUCCAUGUGAACGGCACUUGCACAUGGGUUAGUCGAUCCUAAGGGUCAGGGGAAGCCCGACAGACAGCGUGUUUUGCGCAUGCUCCGAAAGGGAAUCGGGUUAAAAUUCCUAAACCGGGACGUGGCGGUUGACGGCAACGUUAGGGAUUCCAGAGACGUUGCGCGGGGACCUCGGGAAGAGUUAUCUUUUCUAUUUAACAGUCUGCCCACCCUAGAAACGGCUCAGCCGGAGGUAGGGUCCUGCGGCUAGAAGAGCAGCGCACGUCGCGUGGUGUCCGGUGCGCCCUUGAAAAUCCGGAGGAUCGAGUGCUGUCCACGCCUGGUUGUACUCAUAACCGCAUCAGGUCUCAAGGUGAACAACCUCUGGCC